rnacentral:rRNA from 1 species
CAAGUCGAACGCGAAAGUCCCCUUCGGGGGGCGAGUAGAGUGGCGUCCGGGUGAGUAACACGUAGGUAAUCUACCUUCGGGUGGGGAAUAACGCAGGGAAACUUGCGCUAAUACCGCAUAAUGCAGCGGCACCACAUGGUGACAGUUGUUAAAGCGGGGGAUUUUCGAACCUCGCGCCUGAAGAGGAGCCUGCGGCAGAUUAGCUAGUUGGUAGGGUAACGGCUUACCAAGGCGACGAUCUGUAGCCGGCCUGAGAGGGCGGUCGGCCACACUGACACUGACAUACGGGUCAGACUCCUACGGGAGGCAGCAGUCGGGAAUUUUGGGCAAUGGGCGAAAGCCUGACCCAGCAACGCCGCGUGAAGGAUGAAAUCCCUCGGGAUGUAAACUUCGCAAGAAUGGGAAGAAUUAGCGAGUAUUAAUACUGCUCGUGAUGACGGUACCAUUUGUAAGCUCCGGCUAACUCCGUGCCAGCAGCCGCGGUAAUACGGGGGGAGCAAGCGUUGUUCGGAUUUACUGGGCGUAAAGGGCGCGUAGGCGGUCAGCACAAGUCAGUUGUGAAAUCUCCGGGCUUAACUCGGAAAGGUCAACUGAUACUGUGCGACUAGAGUGCAGAAGGGGCAACUGGAAUUCUCGGUGUAGCGGUGAAAUGCGUAGAUAUCGAGAGGAACACCUGCGGCGAAGGCGGGUUGCUGGGCUGACACUGACGCUGAGUGCGCGAAAGCCAGGGGAGCGAACGGGAUUAGAUACCCCGGUAGUCCUGGCCUUAAACGAUGGAUGCUUGGUGUCUGGAGUUUUAUAGUCUCC